UGCAAGUCGAGCGCUACCUUCGGGUGGAGCGGCGGACGGGUUAGUAACGCGUGGGAAUAUACCCUUCACUAUGGAAUAGCCUCGGGAAACUGAGAGUAAUACCAUAUACGCCCUUCGGGGGAAAGAUUUAUCGGUGAAGGAUUAGCCCGCGUAAGAUUAGAUAGUUGGUGGGGUAAUGGCCUACCAAGUCUACGAUCUUUAGCUGGUUUUAGAGGAUGAUCAGCAACACUGGGACUGAGACACGGCCCAGACUCCUACGGGAGGCAGCAGUGGGGAAUCUUAGACAAUGGGCGAAAGCCUGAUCUAGCCAUGCCGCGUGAGUGAUGAAGGUCUUAGGAUCGUAAAGCUCUUUCGCUAGGGAUGAUAAUGACAGUACCUAGUAAAGAAGCCCCGGCUAACUCCGUGCCAGCAGCCGCGGUAAUACGGAGGGGGCUAGCGUUGUUCGGAAUUACUGGGCGUAAAGCGUACGUAGGCGGAUCAGAAAGUAUGGGGUGAAAUCCCAGGGCUUAACCCUGGAACUGCCUCAUAAACUCCUGGUCUUGAGUUCGAGAGAGGUGAGUGGAAUUCCAAGUGUAGAGGUGAAAUUCGUA
rnacentral:rRNA from 1 species